rfam:Chelonia mydas contig259502, whole genome shotgun sequence.
GACAGUGUGACCUAGUAGAUAGAGCACUAGACUGGGACUCAGGAGACCUGGGUUCUAUUCCUAGCUCUGCCA